AGGGGCAUAGUUCCAAUUGGUAGAACAGCGGUCUCCAAAACCGAAGGUUGGGGGUUCGAAUCCCUCUGCCCCUGCCA
rnacentral:tRNA from 1 species